UGCCGAGGAAAUCCUCGAUAGUUAACUGCAACCGAUUUUCUAAAACUUCGGCAGUUAACUACCAAAGGGCAU
rnacentral:pre_miRNA from 1 species